GUACCGUCCAAACGUUAUUCGGAAUCACUGGGCUUAAAGAGUUCGUAGGCGGCCCAGAAAGUUGGGUGUGAAAUCCCUCGGCUCAACCGAGGAAUUGCGCUCAAAACUACUGGGCUAGAGGGAGAUAGAGGUGAGCGGAACUGAUGGUGGAGCGGUGAAAUGCGUUGAUAUCAUCAGGAACACCGGAGGCGAAGGCGGCUCACUGGGUCUUUCCUGACGCUGAGGAACGAAAGCUAGGGGAGCGAACGGGAUUAGAUACCCCGGUAGUCCUAGCCUUAAACGAUGAGCACUAGACCGGAGAACCCUCCACAGUUUUUCGGUCGUAGCGAAAGUGUUAAGUGCUCCGCCUGGGGAGUAUGGUCGCAAGGCUG
rnacentral:rRNA from 1 species